AGAUGUGUGAUUUUGGUUUACAUGUGAGCUUUUUGUGAGGAAAUGCGUGAUUUUCAGGUUAAAUGGGGGAUUCUUGUAGCGAAAGCGUUUGAUUUGGGGGUGAAAUGAGGGAUUUUUGAGAGAAAAUGAGUGAUUUUCAAGUUAAAAGGGUGAUUUUCCAAGAGAAAAUGCGUGAUUUUGGGUGAAAUGGGGUAUUUUUGAAGGGAAAUGUAUUAUUUUGGGGCUAAAUGGGGAGAUUUCCGAAGAGAAAUUGUGUUUUUAUCAGGUUAAAUGGGGGAUUCUCGAAGAGAAAUGCAUGGUUUUUGAUUAAAUGGGGGAUUUCUGAAAAGAAAAUGCAUGACUUUCGGGUUAGAUCAGGGAUUCUUGAAGAGAAAAUGCAUGGUUUUUGAUUAAAUGGGGGAUUUUUGAAAAGAAAAUGCAUGACUUUCGGGUUAGAUCAGGGAUUCUUGAAGAGAAAAUGCAUCAUUUUGGGUGACAUGGGGGAUUUCCGAAGAGAAAUGGCGUUUUUUCGGGUUAAGUGGGGUUUUUGAAGAGAAAAUGCAUGAUCUUCUUUACAGUGAGAUUGAUGUAGAGGAAAUGCGUG
rnacentral:lncRNA from 7 species